rnacentral:lncRNA from 1 species
GAGCAGCAAUUGGAUACAGUGCUUCUAUGGAACUGCUCCUUUGCGUCACAGAGAUCAAACUGGAGUACGUCUUAAUCCUACACAUGGAGAGACCUAAGCAGGCUGAGCUGGCUGGCUGAUGUGUUAGGGAUCUGGGAAGUGUAGUAGCAGAGAUGAGCACCCACCUCCUUUGCUGUCAGUAACCACCCAGCACGGCACAUCCUGCAGGUUGCUCACAGGCAGAUGGAAGGUCUUUUUUCCCCUCAAGUGAACUCAGAAGUGCUCUCA